GAGGAUAUCUGUGCUGAUGCUGUGAGAGAUGUGGUGUCGGAACAUUCAGGCCACUAAUUUAAUUCAAGAGGUCGACAGCAGGACAACAGUUCAUCUCCCUGAGUUAACCUGCCUCACCACCGGCAUCCUGCCCAAGCUGAGGCACUAAGGCUUUUUGAGGCUUAUCGAUAAGCGCUACCAGCUGGCGCUAGCCUAAGGCGAAGACGCCCUCCUACACCCACAAUUUCUUUUGUUUGGCUGGGAA